UACGUAGGUGGCAAGCGUUGUCCGGAUUUACUGGGCGUAAAGAGCGCGCAGGCGGUCGUUCAAGUCGCGUGUGAAAGCCCCCGGCUCAACUGGGGAGGGUCACGCGAUACUGAUCGACUCGAAGGCAGGGGAGGGUAGUGGAAUUCCCGGUGUAGUGGUGAAAUGCGUAGAUAUCAGGAGGAAUACCGGUGGUGUAGACGGCUCUCUGGACCGCCACUGACGCUGAGACACGAAAGCGUGGGUAGCAAACAGG
rnacentral:rRNA from 1 species